GACGAACGCUGGCGGCGUGCUUAACACAUGCAAGUCGAACGGAAAGGCCCCUUUGGGGGUCCUCGAGUGGCGAACGGGUGAGUAACACGUGAGUAACCUGCCCUUGACUUCGGGAUAACUUCAGGAAACUGGGGCUAAUACCGGAUAGGAAUCCUUGCUGCAUGGUGGGGGUUGGAAAGCUUCGGCGGUUUUGGAUGGACUCGCGGCUUAUCAGCUUGUUGGUGGGGUAGUGGCUUACCAAGGCUUUGACGGGUAGCCGGCCUGAGAGGGCGACCGGCCACAUUGGGACUGAGUUACGGCCCAGACUCCUACGGGAGGCAGCAGUGGGGAAUAUUGCACAAUGGGCGGAAGCCUGAUGCAGCAACGCCGCGUGCGGGAUGACGGCCUUCGGGUUGUAAACCGCUUUCAGCAGGGGCGAAGCUUGUGGUGACGGUACCUGCAGAAGAAGCACCGGCUAACUACGUG
rnacentral:rRNA from 1 species